rnacentral:tRNA from 1 species
GGGGUUGUGGCUCAGCGGUAUAGCACUCAUCUCUCAUGUGUGAGACCAUGGGUUCGAUCCUCAGCACCA